rnacentral:rRNA from 1 species
GACAGAGGGUGCAAACGUUGUUCGGAAUCACUGGGCGUAAAGCGCGUGUAGGCUGCUGCGCAAGUCGGAUGUGAAAUCCCACGGCUCAACCAUGGAAGUGCAUUCGAAACUGCGUAGCUAGAGUUUUGGAGAGGAAGGCGGAAUACUCGGUGUAGAGGUGAAAUUCGUAGAUAUCGAGUGGAACACCGGUGGCGAAGGCGGCCUCUGGACAAUGACUGACGCUGAAACGCGAAAGCGUGGGGAGCAAACAGG